GGGGAUUUAGCUCAGUGGUGGAGUGUGUGCUUUGAAUGCACAAGGUCCUGGAUUGGAUCCUCA
rnacentral:tRNA from 1 species